rnacentral:rRNA from 1 species
GACGAACCGUGCGAACGUUGUUCGGAUUCACUGGGCUUAAAGGGCGCGUAGGCGGGCAAUCAAGUCAGGGGUGAAAGCCUCCAGCUUAACUGGAGAAGUGCCUCUGAUACUGGUCGUCUUGAGGGAGGUAGGGGCAUGUGGAACUUCCGGUGGAGCGGUGAAAUGCGUAGAUAUCGUCUGGAACGCCGAAGGUGAAAACAGCUCGCUGGGGCUGCGCUGACGCUGAGACACGAAAGCCAGGGGAGCGAACGGG